rnacentral:rRNA from 1 species
GAUGAACGCUGGCGGCGUGCUUAACACAUGCAAGUCGAACGGGAUCCAAGGGGUGCUUGCACUUUUUGGUGAGAGUGGCGAACGGGUGAGUAACACGUGAGUAACCUGUCCUUUUCUUUGGGAUAAGCAUUCGAAAGGGUGUUUAAUACCUUAUGUUCUGUCUGCCUCGCAUGGGGUGGGUGGGAAAGGCUUUGGCCGGAUUUGGGUGGGCUCGCGGUCUGUCAGCUUGUUGGUGGGGUGAUGGCUUACCAAGGCUUUGACGGGUAGCCGGCCUGAGAGGGUGGUCGGUCAGAUUGGGACUGAGCUGCGGCCGAGACUCCUGCGGGAGGCAGCAGUGGGGGAUAUUGCACAAUGGGCGAAAGCCUGAUGCAGCGACGCCGCGUGGGGGAUGAAGGCCUUCGGGUUGUAAACUUCUUUUGCUCUUAACAAGGCAUGCCAGUGGGUGUGUUGAGUGUAGGGGUUGAUUAGCGCCGGCUAACUACGUG